ACUCCUACGGGAGGCAGCAGUGGGGAAUUUUGGACAAUGGGGGCAACCCUGAUCCAGCAAUGCCGCGUGAGUGAAGAAGGCCUUCGGGUUGUAAAGCUCUUUUGUCAGGGAAGAAACGGUUCAAGCUAAUAUCUUGAACUAAUGACGGUACCUGAAGAAUAAGCACCGGCUAACUACGUGCCAGCAGUCGCGGUAAUACGUAGGGUGCAAGCGUUAAUCGGAAUUACUGGGCAUAAAGCGUGCGCAGGCGGUUGUGUAAGACAGGUGUGAAAUCCCCGGGCUUAACCUGGGAAUUGCAUUUGUGACUGCACGGCUAGAGUGUGUCAGAGGGGGGUAGAAUUCCACGUGUAGCAGUGAAAUGCGUAGAUAUGUGGAGGAAUACCGAUGGCGAAGGCAGCCCCCUGGGAUAACACUGACGCUCAUGCACGAAAGCGUGGGGAGCAAACAGGAUUAGAUACCCUGGUAGUCCACGCCCUAAACGAUGUCUACUAGUUGCCGGGUCUUAAUUGACUUGGUAACGCAGCUAACGCGUGAAGUAGACCGCCUGGGGAGUACGGUCGCAAGAUUAAAACUCAAAGGAAUUGACGGGGACCCGCACAAGCGGUGGAUGAUGUGGAUUAAUUCGAUGCAACGCGAAAAACCUUACCUACCCUUGACAUGUACGGAAUUCUGCUGAGAGGUGGAAGUGCUUGAAAGAGAACCGUAACACAGGUGCUGCAUGGCUGUCGUCAGCUCGUGUCGUGAGAUGUUGGGUUAAGUCCCGCAACGAGCGCAACCCUUGUCAUUAGUUGCUACGAAAGGGCACUCUAAUGAGACUGCCGGUGACAAACCGGAGGAAGGUGGGGAUGACGUCAAGUCCUCAUGGCCCUUAUGGGUAGGGCUUCACACGUCAUACAAUGGUACAUACAGAGGGCCGCCAACCCGCGAGGGGGAGCUAAUCCCAGAAAGUGU
rnacentral:rRNA from 1 species